rnacentral:rRNA from 1 species
GAUGAACGCUGGCGGCGUGCUUAACACAUGCAAGUCGAACGGAAAGGCCGAAGCUUGCUUCGGUACUCGAGUGGCGAACGGGUGAGUAACACGUGGGUGAUCUGCCCUGUACUUCGGGAUAAGCUUGGGAAACUGGGUCUAAUACCGGACAUGACGAUCUCUUGGAUGGGGUUGUGGAAAGCUUUUGCGGUAUGGGAUGAGCUCGCGGCCUAUCAGCUUGUUGGUGGGGUAAUGGCCUACCAAGGCGUCGACGGGUAGCCGGCCUGAGAGGGUGUACGGCCACAUUGGGACUGAGAUACGGCCCAGACUCCUACGGGAGGCAGCAAUGGGGAAUAUUGCACAAUGGGCGCAAGCCUGAUGCAGCGACGCCGCGUGGGGGAUGACGGCCCUCGGGUUGUAAACUCCUUUCGCAAUCGACGAAGCCUUUUGGUGACGGUAGGUUGAGAAGAAGCACCGGCUAACUACGUG